rnacentral:rRNA from 1 species
UCGCUCAACGGAUAAAAGCUACCCCGGGGAUAACAGGCUUAUCUCCCCCAAGAGUUCACAUCGACGGGGAGGUUUGGCACCUCGAUGUCGGCUCAUCGCAUCCUGGGGCUGUAGUCGGUCCCAAGGGUUGGGCUGUUCGCCCAUUAAAGCGGUACGCGAGCUGGGUUCAGAACGUCGUGAGACAGUUCGGUCCCUAUCCGUCGUGGGCGUAGGAAAUUUGAGAGGAGCUGUCCUUAGUACGAGAGGACCGGGAUGGACAUACCUCUGGUGUACCAGUUGUCGUGCCAACGGCAUAGCUGGGUAGCUAUGUAUGGACGGGAUAAGUGCUGAAAGCAUCUAAGCAUGAAGCCCCCCUCAAGAUGAGAUUUCCCAACUUCGGUUAUAAGAUCCCUCGAAGAUGACGAGGUUAAUAGGUUCGAGGUGGAAGCGUGGUGACACGUGGAGCUGACGAAUACUAAUCGAUCGAAGACUUAAUCAAUUUUUUAAA